rnacentral:sRNA from 1 species
UGCAAAUACUGGUGAAGUCUUUAGUGGAAGAAAAAUUUCAGGUUUCCAAAUUGCCAAAUAGAGUAAAUUUCUUUCUUUUUCAAAGAGGAGCCUAGUUCAGGAUUUAUAAAGUUUCUUAGUGUGUGUUUUAAAUGGCUUUACAUUUUUUUCCCUUCUUCUUUUUGACAGGAGUCUUUUAGUCCUGCUAUACAGCUGCACCUUGUACAUCAAGCUCCAUGUAAUGUUCCUCCUUACCUCUCAAAGAAUGAAUCAAACCUUGGGGACCUCUUACUGGGCUUUCUUAAAUAUUAUGCUACAGAAUUUGACUGGAAUAGUCAAAUGAUUUCAGUUCGUGAAGCCAAAGCCAUUCCGAGGCCUGAUGGUAUUGAAUGGAGAAAUAAAUACAUCUGUGUAGAAGAACCUUUUGAUGGAACAAAUACAGCCAGAGCAGUGCACGAAAAGCAGAAAUUUGAUAUGAUCAAGGAUCAAUUUUUAAAGUCAUGGCACAGAUUGAAAAACAAGAGAGAUUUGAACAGUAUA